rnacentral:piRNA from 1 species
UGCUUUUGCUGUUGAUUGCCAUAGUAGUG